GCUACCAAUUUCUUUUGCUGACAUGAUCAUUAAAGGAGUGGAAUUACUGCCAACUUACCUGCCUUCUGUCACCGUCUUAUUAUUUAUUAAAUAAGGAGCUGCUAAGAAAGUUCGUGACUGGAACAGCUGUUUAGAGGUUUUAAAGAAGUUGGAGUACAGCCCUUAUCUUGAGGCGCUUGAAACCUUGAUGUCCAAAGCCAAAUCGAUUGCGAUAUGACUGGAUCCGCUUGACGAACUAGAAAAUUAGAUCGCAGAAGCCCACGCUUGGCGCGAGAAAAUUGCAAAAACAUUGUUACGAAAGAACUCAUAUUAUUGAUCCCUGAUCGAAUUCCUUUUCCCGAAACUCGUCGUAUUAGUUGCAUCGCGUUUCCGACGCCGUCUACCCAAAGAAGAUCCCUUGAACCCAAUCAACGUGACUCAGGUAAUCACCCAUUUGAGGCAGAGAAGAAGGAAGUUCCUCGACUGAUCGUUGGAGCUUUCAAAGAGAGUGAAAACAACUCAUUAACUAUUAGCUUCAAGCGUAUCCGAGUUCAAAACAUUCAAAAAAAAGUCCAGAUGAUCAAGGCCUUGCUCAUUACUGUAUUCUCCAAGGCAAAGCCCAAGGAGGCAUGAUCAAAUGUGCGCUCUGCAAAGAAUGGUUUCAUCUUUCGUGUUUAAGAAGAGCGAAGUAACAAGGCCCAGGGGCCAAAAACAAGACAAAGGCAAUGCGAUCAGCGGAAAAGAUGGCCGUUACCUCUAAAGCUAUUGUUGUCGUUCAAGACGGACU